CCUACGGGAGGCUGCAGUGAGGAAUAUUGGUCAAUGGGCGCGAGCCUGAACCAGCCAAGUCGCGUGAGGGAGGACGGCCCUACGGGUUGUAAACCUCUUUUGCCGGGGAGCAACGGGCGUCACGUGUGGCGCCACUGAUUGUACCCGGAGAAAAAGCAUCGGCUAACUCCGUGCCAGCAGCCGCGGUAAUAGGGAGGAUGCGAGCGGUAUCCGGUUUUUUUGGGUUUAAAGGGGGCGUAGGCGGAUCGUUUAGUAAGUGGGAAAAUUGAGGGGUUCAACCCCUUCCCGCCAUUGAAACUGGAGUUCUUGAGUGGAAGAGGGGUAGGCGGAAUGCGUGGUGUAGCGGUGAAAUGCAUAGAGAUCACGAAGAACCCCGAUUGCGAAGGCAGGAUGCCGGCUUCCGACUGACGCUGAAGCACGAAAGCGUGGGGAUCGAACAGGAUUAGAUACCCGAGUAGUC
rnacentral:rRNA from 1 species